AUUGAACGCUGGCGGCAGGCCUAACACAUGCAAGUCGAACGAGUGGCGGACGGGUGAGUAAUGUCUGGGAAACUGCCUGAUGGAGGGGGAUAACUACUGGAAACGGUAGCUAAUACCGCAUACCAUCGGAUGUGCCCAGAUGGGAUUAGCUAGUAGGUGGGGUAACGGCUCACCUAGGCGACGAUCCCUAGCUGGUCUGAGAGGAUGACCAGCCAAAAUGGAACUGAGACACGGUCCAGACUCCUACGGGAGGCAGCAGUAGGGAAUAUUGGACAAUGGACGCAAGCCUGAUGCAGCCAUGCCGCGUGUGUGAAGAAGGGCUUCGGGUUGUAAAGUACUUUCAGCGGGGAAGCGUUACCCGCAGAAGAAGCAACGGCUAACUCCGUGCCAGCAGCCGCGGUAAUUC
rnacentral:rRNA from 1 species